rnacentral:rRNA from 1 species
GAUGAACGCUGGCGGCGUGCCUAAUACAUGCAAGUCGAGCGAACGGACGAGAAGCUUGCUUUUCUGAUGUUAGCGGCGGACGGGUGAGUAACACGUGGAUAACCUACCUAUAAGACUGGGAUAACUUCGGGAAACCGGAGCUAAUACCGGAUAAUAUUUUGAACCGCAGGGUUCAAAAGUGAAAGACGGUCUUGCUGUCACUUAUAGAUGGAUCCGCGCUGCAUUAGCUAGUUGGUAAGGUAACGGCUUACCAAGGCAACGAUGCAUAGCCGACCUGAGAGGGUGAUCGGCCACACUGGAACUGAGACACGGUCCAGACCCCUACGGGAGGCAGCAGUAGGGAAUCUUCCGCAAUGGGCGAAAGCCUGACGGAGCAAUGCCGCGUGAGUGAUGAAGGUCUUCGGAUCGUAAAGCUCUGUUAUUAGGGAAGAACAUCUGUGUAAGUAACUGUGCCCAUCUUGACGGUACCUAAUCAGAAAGCCACGGCUAACUACGUG